rnacentral:rRNA from 1 species
CAGGCCUAACACAUGCAAGUCGGACGAUUGGCUUCGGCCAGUAGUGGCGCACGGGUGAGUAACGCGUAACUGACCUGCCCCCAAGUCGCGGAUAACGUCUCGAAAGAGACGCUAAUACGUGAUGUGCAGUGCCGCUGUGGCGGCACUGUAAAGACUGGAUCGCUUGGGGAUGGGGUUGCGUUUCAUCAGCUAGUUGGUGGGGUAAAGGCCCACCAAGGCGACGAUCCUUAGCUGGUCUGAGAGGAUGAUCAGCCACACUGGAACUGAGACACGGUCCAGACUCCUACGGGAGGCAGCAGUGGGGAAUCUUGCGCAAUGGGGGAAACCCUGACGCAGCAACGCCGCGUGGAGGAUGAAAUCCCUUGGGAUGUAAACUCCUUUCGACUGGGAAGAUAAUGACGGUACCAGGAGAAGAAGCCCCGGCUAACUUCGUGCCAGCAGCCGCGGUAAU